UGGCAGUGCCCAGAUCGCAGCUGUAGGCACAUAAAGUUUUGAUGCUGGUAUCCAGAUCCCUCCUUCUCAUCAACAACAAAAAGGAUGACUAUUUAAGAUUCUGUUGUCUUAAAGGCUUUAUUAAGUUAUUGCCCAAGGAUUAUCCAACUGCAAAAUAAAAGCUACUGUAAUUUCUGCAUGAUUACAAGAAGAAUAGAUAAUAUUACCUAGCAUGCUAUAUUACAAAUUUCUGAAAGCUUAUUUGAAAUUUCAGGUGUUAACAAGACCAGAGUUGUUUUCUUCUUCAACCAUGAAUUGUAUCAAAGUUCACAGGCUUUAGUUCUCUUUUGAUUUCUAUCCGGCAUCAAUAUAGCUUAUUUGCAUGACUGAUUAUAAAAUUUACUUAUUCAUUGAACGAUGCUUAGCUGCUGUACUCUUCAAGCUCUGUGAUAAUAACUGCAGGGUGACUGACUGAUAACGGCUUAUCAUCUCUCUACUGCAAAAGCAUGUAAAUUAGUAAAAUAAAUGUUUAGCUG